CUUGGGACCUGCAGCCCGCCAUGCCUGAGCUUCCCCCCGCCCCCGCCGUGGGCUCCUGUGCGGCCCGAGCCUCCCCGACGAGCGCCGCCCCCUGCUCCACGAUGCCCAGUCCCAUCGACCACCCAAGGGCUGAGGAGUGCGGGCUCACGGUUACAGGAUUCCCAUUUCAGAACUACGACCAUUUGAAAAAUAGAAGAUUUAAAGAUUGACGCAAAGUGCAUGUACCAUGAUACACCAGGUCUCAUCUCCUGAAUAUUUGUCCUGCCCUGAGUUUUCACCUGAGGCCACCUGUACAACUGACUAGAGUAGUUCCACUGAUUGCUAAAAUGGAACAGGCAGGAUUGGUAUUGACUGUCCAAGAGCAAAGUCAGAUACAGAAUUCCCACCUUUGAGUUGUUCCUGUGUUGCAAUAUUAUCAUAAGGCUCAAGCUACCAGAGACACCCACUGUCACACUGGAGCCUGCUUCUGACCAAAACAUCCUCUGUCAAGCUAUAGACUGCUUCUGACCUCAGGUUUGCCAUUCUGAGCACAUAACAAAAAUAAAACAAGAAAAAGCAUAAGGUAUGAAAUGUUAUUCAAAAAAAGAAUGAUGAAACAAUGAACUAAAGCCUGGGCAGUAAAUAAUUCUGUCUUCAAGAUCCCACAUGGAAAAUUUUUUAGAAAGACUUCCUACCUUUCCUACUGUUUGUAAUGUGCAUCUGGAAUACUAGAGAAAGGGUCCCUAAGGUUUGCUGGAAAAAUACCUUAGCUUCUGAGUCUUAGCUUUAUUACUAAUAAACACUGGAUUUCUGGUA
rnacentral:lncRNA from 1 species